rnacentral:rRNA from 1 species
CCAGACUCCUACGGGAGGCAGCAGUGGGGAAUAUUGGGCAAUGGGCGCAAGCCUGACCCAGCAACGCCGCGUGAAGGAAGAAGGCUUUCGGGUUGUAAACUUCUUUUAUGAGGGACGAAAGAAAUGACGGUACCUCAUGAAUAAGCCACGGCUAACUACGUGCCAGCAGCCGCGGUAAUACGUAGGUGGCAAGCGUUAUCCGGAUUUAUUGGGUGUAAAGGGCGUGUAGGCGGGAAUGCAAGUCAGAUGUGAAAACUAUGGGCUCAACCCAUAGCCUGCAUUUGAAACUGUAUUUCUUGAGUGCUGGAGAGGCAAUCGGAAUUCCGUGUGUAGCGGUGAAAUGCGUAGAUAUUAGGAGGAACACCAGUGGCGAAGGCGGCCUGCUGGACGACAACUGACGGUGAGGCGCGAAAGCGUGGGGAGCAAACAGGAUUAGAUACCCCUGUAGG